GACGAACGCUGGCGGCGUGCUUAACACAUGCAAGUCGAACGGAAAGGCCCUGCUUUUGUGGGGUUCUCGAGUGGCGAACGGGUGAGUAACACGUGAGUAACCUGCCCUUGACUUUGGGAUAACUUCAGGAAACUGGGGCUAAUACCGGAUAGGAUCUCCUGCUGCAUGGUGGGGGUUGGAAAGUUUCGGCGGUUGGGGAUGGACUCGCGGCUUAUCAGCUUGUUGGUGGGGUAGUGGCUUACCAAGGUUUUGACGGGUAGCCGGCCUGAGAGGGUGACCGGCGACAUGGGGACUGAGAUACGGCCCAGACGCCUACGGGAGGCAGCAGUGGGGAAUAUUGCACAAUGGGCGGAAGCCUGAGGCAGCAACGCCGCGUGCGGAAUGACGGCCUUCGGGUUGUAAACCGCUUUCGACUGUGACGAAGAGUGAGUGACGGUAAUGGGUAAAGAAGCACCGGCUAACUACGUG
rnacentral:rRNA from 1 species